GUAGGUGAGUAGUCAAAAAACAGUGUAAAGUUACCAUCUGUUUAUUGUCUUAUUACAUAUUAUUCUGUGAGACAAACACUUUUGCAAUUUGCAGGUAAUUUCUGAGGAAUGUAACCUUUUUAAGUAGGUGUAAAUAAUAGUUAUAAAAAAAUAAAAUUGCCUUCUUAAACAUUUUCAAUUGUACGGUCUAGUGAUGUUAAGUAUAUUUACAUUAUAUUGCAAUGGGUGUCUAGAUUUAUUUUAUCUUGUAAAAUACAAUACCCAAUAAAAAAUAAACUGCCCCCCUUUUUUUCUUCAGCUCCUGAAGAACACCAUUUGACUUACUGUUUUUAUAAUUUUGACUAAUUUUUAUAUUCUUAUUAGUGUCAUUAAUGUCUGUUUCUGUUUGACUAUCUAAUUUAAUGUAAUGUUCUCAGGCUUUGUUUUUGUAAGAUAUGUCAGAAUAUCUGUUUUAAAAUGAAAUAAUAUUCUAUAUAUAUGUCACAUUUUAAAAAUCCGAUACUGAUCUGUAAAGGGACAUUUGUGUUGUUUCCAGGAAUUGUCUUUUGUAAAUAAUAAUAAAUGAACAUGCAUGUGUAAA
rnacentral:lncRNA from 10 species